UACGGGGGGUGCAAGCGUUGUUCGGAAUUAUUGGGCGUAAAGAGCGUGUAGGCGGCCGGAUAUGUCAGAUGUGAAAGCCCCGGGCUUAACCCGGGAAGUGCAUUUGAAACUGUCCGGCUCGAGUAGGGGAGAGGGAAGUGGAAUUCCUGGUGUAGAGGUGAAAUUCGUAGAUAUCAGGAGGAACACCGGUGGCGAAGGCGACUUCCUGGCCCUAUACUGACGCUGAGACGCGAGAGCGUGGGUAGCAAACAGG
rnacentral:rRNA from 2 species